rnacentral:pre_miRNA from 1 species
UUUUCUACAAAUCGAAAUGGGCUGAAAUUUGGAGCGUGUGUUCAUAAAAAAUAAGCGAAUUUACUAAAAAUAUCAAAAACAUAUUUUACAUGAAAUAAAUUGACCAAAAUACACCCGAAAUGUUUUAGGGGUAUUUUGAUCAAUUUGUUUUCAUGAAUUAUGUUUUUAUAUUUUUAUUAGGUGCGUCUCACUAAGAUGUACACACGUUCCAAAUUUCAGAUCAUUCUGAUUUGUAGAAAG